rnacentral:rRNA from 1 species
UACAGAGGUCCCGAGCGUUGUUCGGAUUCAUUGGGCGUAAAGGGUGCGUAGGCGGUCUUCUAAGUUUGAUGUGAAAUUCCGGGGCUCAACCCUGGCAUGGCAUUGAAUACUGGAGGACUAGAGUACCGGAGAGGAAACUGGAAUUUACGGUGUAGCAGUGAAAUGCGUAGAGAUCGUAAGGAAGACCAGUGGCGAAGGCGGGUCUCUGGACAGUUCCUGACGCUGAGGCACGAAGGUCAGGGGAGCAAACGGG